CGUUCCUGCUUCACGUCGCUCCGUGAUCGCACUGUGCCGUCCAGUGACUGCACCGUGCGACCUCGCACCUGCUCCGGUCCUCAUCGUUCCUGAGCGGUGCUAUGUUCCUGCUUCGUGCCGCUCCGUGAUUGCACCUGCUCCAGUCCUCAUCGUUCCUGAGCGGUGCUACGUUCCUGCUUCGUGUCGCUCCGUGAUCGCACUGUGCCGUCCAGUGACUGCACCGUGUGACCUCGCACCUGCUCCGGUCCUCAUCGUUCCUGAGCGGUGCUACGUUCCUGCUUCGUGUCGCUCCGUGAUCGCACUGUGGCAUCCAGCGUGGUGGCCUCUCGUCUAUCGUGCGUGCGCCCUCCCCACGGGGGGAGCUAACGCAACACAGGACACAAACACGACCACCUAAUAGCGUGAAAUAUUUGGGAAGGAAGUCUUCUUCCCAAAGGGGGGAGGAUGGUUGUCGCAAUAAACGGUCAAAUCGAAUUGUAAUCCUGAUGUCGACUCCGACACGUCGGCAUGCGAAUUCUCGCAUGCGUGUCUCCCGCAUACGUCUAGGAGAAUGCGUUUCUCCCACGCACCAGCUCGACCAAUCACGGGCCGACACGUUAUCGUUCGGCACGUGGCAACGAGAGAAUGCGCUAUCCUGCUUCCUGCGAGAAGCAUCUAUAAAGCGAUCGAUCAGCGGAUCGAUCGCUCUCUUAUCAUAUUGAUCUCAACGUGAACGGAGAUCACCGCAAGUAUACUUUAAUUGCAAAUAAAACGUGUUUAUCUUUAUCCGUGUGUAA